rnacentral:lncRNA from 1 species
GGAUGGAAGGGUGGCCGUGGGCCAGCUGUGUGCCCCUGCAGCAGAGGCCAACAGCUGCCAGGGCUGCGCCAGGCAGAGCAUUGCCAGCAGGCUGAGGAUGAGGAAGGUGAUCCUGCCCUUCAGCUAAGCACUGGUGAGACUUGUCUGAACUGCUGGGUCCCCAGUACAAGAGAGAUUUGGACAUUAUGGAGCUGGUCCAGUGAAGGGCCAUUAAGAUGUCUAAGGGACUCAAGUAGUGACACACAAGAUGAGCCUGUGAGAGCUGUGGCUCAGCCUGGAGGUGGAGCCUUAUUCAUGUGUAUGAAUACCUGAGGGAGGGGAUGUAAAGAAAAUGGGGCUGGAGUUUCCUUUAGAAGCUGCCCAGAGAGGUUGUGAGGUCUCAGUCUCUGGUAGAGGAUCAUCAUCACAUGACCCCGAUUUGGGCAGGGGACUGACUAGCUGAUCUCCAGGGGUGCUUGUCAGCCUCAGCUAUCAUGUGAUUUGAUGCCUCCAGGAGUCAUCUAUAGAAAGCAUGACCUGGCACUUACCUCCUGCCUACUGAAGAUAUUGUCCAACCAUUCUUUGUGUUAAAAUUGGAAAUGACUGUUUCACUCAUGGACUGCCUGUAUAAUAGCGAGAAUCAAAGUGGAAAUACCUCAUGUUUGAAUACCUUUUAUGACUCUGUAUGGUGAGAGUUCUCCCUUCUCAGAAGGAUCUGAAGUUUGGGUGUCUUGACAACUUUCUGUAUAUAUCUCCUGAGUUGACAGCUUUGGGUGAUUUGAAUGCUGGGGCAAGAAUCCAAAUGGCAAGCACCAGGGGAGCCUGAGUUAGUGAACUACCUUGUCAUGGGCAUUCCUACCAGCCCAGAGGUACAACCCACACAAAUGCUCCGGGAGAUGUUGGAAUACAAGUCCAAACACAGCCACAUGGUCACCAGCCAACAGAAGUGACUGGCCAGUAGUCACUGUAGCAGCCAGGUGGUCCAGAAUGCAGGAGCUGCUGAGUCCAUGUAGACAUUGACUGUGAGAUUAAAUGCCAAAAUCAUGAAGACAGGUGAGUAAUUGAGCACAAAGUCUACUGUGAAUGGAGUAAAGCACUUAAGAAAAGCAGCAGCUGGGCAAAGCACUUAAAAUGCACUUAAGUCUGUAAGCAAUUAAUUUUUGAGUAUUCAUAACUAUAAGGAACUAAAAGAAGAAGAGCUGUCCUAUAUUAUACUGGUGAACAGAUUCAUAUGCAGUAUGGUGUUCUUAGGCUGGCCAUAUAUUUUCCUUCCUUAUUUUGUAAAUUUAGACCUUUAAAAAUAGCCUGUUAAUAAUUAUUAGAUUGAUUAGUAGUUAAUGAGAAGGAAAGAAAAAUGGUGAUUGGGUUUCUGUUCCUCAAAACCCACCCAGUAAACAGCCACUCUCCUUCCUCAGGGCUCUUAUCAAUGCUCCCCUGUCAUGCUGUAUAACAACGUGUCUGUGAAUAUACAAUGCUGAAAGAAACUCCAGCCCUGUGCAGUGUACAAUCCAUCCUUGCAUCUUUAUGCUGUAUGAGUCACAGUACAUUUAGAGAUCUCCUUCCCUCUAAGUGUGAUCUAUUUACAAGCACGCGUAGGUUUUCAUAGUUUCACAAUAGCUGACAGAAGAGCAUAAUUUAUCUAAAAAAUAUUCUGGCCUAUUUGCUAGUCAUGUGAAUACAGAUUUUUUUUUCUUCCUUUUUUUUUUUUUAAAUUCAAUGUCUGACUCUAAAUGCAAAGUAAAAUUUUGAUCCUGCUCUGUCUGAGGUGAUUUGUUCUCAAGAAACUUUCUCCUGACAUGGUGUUUUAGCACAGAAUAAAUGAAUAAAUGUGAAUUUCAUCCUUGUAUUUUUUGUAGA